CCUACGGGAGGCAGCAGUGGGGAAUAUUGGGCAAUGGGCGCAAGCCUGACCCAGCAACGCCGCGUGAAGGAAGAAGGCUUUCGGGUUGUAAACCUCUUUUAAGGGGGAAGAGCAGAAGACGGUACACCUGGAAUAAGCCACGGCUAACUACGUGCCAGCAGCCGGGGUAAUACGUAGUUGGCAAGCGUUGUGCGGAGUUACUGGGUGUACAGGGCGUGCAGCCGGGGAGACAAGUCAGAUGUGAAAUCCACGGGCUCAACCCGUGAACUGCCUUUGAAACUGUUUCCCUUGAGUGUCGGAGAGGUCAUCGGAAUUCCUUGUGUAGCGGUGAAAUGCGUAGAUAUUAGGAAGAACACCAGUGGCGAAGGCGGCUUACUGGACGAUACCUGACGGUGAGGCGCGAAAGCGUGGGGAGCAAACAGGAUUAGAUACCCCAGUAGUC
rnacentral:rRNA from 1 species